rnacentral:rRNA from 1 species
UGGGGAAUAUUGGACAAUGGGGGAAACCCUGAUCCAGCGACGCCGCGUGUGUGAAGAAGGCCUGCGGGUUGUAAAGCACUUUUAGUGGGGAUGAAAAGUUCAGGGCUAAUACCCCUGGAUCUUGACCUAACCCACAGAAAAAGCACCGGCUAACUCUGUGCCAGCAGCCGCGGUAAUACAGAGGGUGCAAGCGUUAAUCGGAAUUACUGGGCGUAAAGCGUGCGUAGACGGUUACAUAAGUCGGGUGUGAAAGCCCCGGGCUCAACCUGGGAAUUGCAUUCGAGACUGCGUAGCUAGGGUGCGGAAGAGGGAAGCGGAAUUUCCGGUGUAGCGGUGAAAUGCGUAGAUAUCGGAAGGAACACCAGUGGCGAAAGCGGCUUCCUGGUCCAGCACCGACGUUCAGGCACGAAAGCGUGGGGAGCAAACA